rnacentral:lncRNA from 1 species
UCUGUAAAGUUACCAUAGUGGGAGCCGUGGGCUCACCCCCGUGACUCAGUGGCUGCCUCUCAGGACAGAAGGAAGAAGCUUUGAGGAACUGGGAACUCACCCCUGAGUCUGCAGCUCACGGCCUGACACGUGGUUGGUGCCGAGGAAAUGGUUGUGGGUGGAAUGAAAGUCUUUUCUCACUGGCCUGCCUGCACCCGGCUGCCUUUGGGGGCCUUGGGAAGCCGUCCCCGGAGACGUCCAACGCCGGGGACAAAAGGGGUGCAAAGGCACCGAGAAUCCUUACACCAUUUUAGAAAAAACAUGGGAAGAAGGAGCCACGUUCAAUGUUUACGGCGAUUUUCUCCGGGAGAAGGGGGAUUCGGGGUGGUUUUGACCCCCUUCCCGUUUCCGUGCUGGCUUCGCGCUGUGUUUUAUGCUCGCACACGUGGCUGAGGUGGUGGCCCCGCCGGAGGCGAGAUUUGGCGUCUGUGGUGAGUGGAGGCUCCCCGGGACCCUUGAGACGCUGCGGAGCCGGUUCCUACGAGGCUCACACCGGCCCCCGGCGCACGGAGAGCCUCCGCCUGCUCACGCCUGUGCCGGGGGUGGACGCGGACCAGGAAUCAGGACCCCGAGGCCGCCCCUUCUCUCUCUGCACCUGGGCCCCCGGCGCAGGUGGGAUCCACGCCGCUGGGCGCCUUCCGGUUUCCGGUUUCCUGCCCGUGGUUCCCUGCUGCCUUGCGACGGCUUUUAGCUAAGCCUCCUGAGGCCACGGGGAGACUGGGGGGAGUUGAGAGCCCCCCAGCUCCGGAGGCCCCAGCCCCUUCUGUGUGGGCGCAGGACAGCCGGGCACCUGCCGGCCCCCAGGCGACCUCGUGUCCCGCGGGCAGGUGUUCCCGAGGGGGACUCCCAGGGGCGCUUGCGGGCAGACGGGCCGGAGCCCUGUGCUCGAGGGACACGAUGUCCCUUCACACUUCAGGGCACUCAGUGCCGCGUGGGGGAGAUGCGGUCUGAGCUGGGGGCGGGAGGGGGC